UAAAGUCAAAUUAAUUGAUUAAAGCUAAUAAAUAACUACUAUUAAGUACAACAACUCUACUUAUUAUUGUAAGAGUAAAAUCUUUAUAAAUAAGAUAGGAAUGUGUUAAUGUAACAUUAAUUCUCUUACGAGGCGCUAGCAUAAAGACUAGGAUUAGAUACCCUAUUAUGGGCGUGAGUAUGAAAGUUUAUUAAGUUAAUAGCCUUAAUUAAAGCAAAACCUAUUUACUAUGGCGGCUGUUAGUCUCACCAGAGUCGUAUGUCCUUAAACGAAACUGCGCGAUCAUCUUACCUUUUAACUUUUGCUAAUAUAAAAUAAUUACAUUAUAGCAAUCUGGCACGUCGCUGUACUAAAAGUGAAGAUUUUAAAUAACUCAUCUUCUAAUUACUUAUUAGCAUUUAUUAAUAACGUACAAGUCAAGACGCCGUUUUAAGAGGCUUAAGAUGUACGAUUUAAUUGAUUUGAUAGAAUUUAUAAGAAUGAAAACUUUCUUUAUUAAAAUAAUUUGGAAGUAAAAUAGGGUUAUUAUUCUUAUUUGAAAUGAGCUACUAAUAAGU
rnacentral:rRNA from 1 species